rnacentral:rRNA from 1 species
GACGAACGCUGGCGGCGUGCUUAACACAUGCAAGUCGAACGGAAAUGCCCUGCUUUUGUGGGGUGCUCGAGUGGCGAACGGGUGAGUAACACGUGAGUAACCUGCCCUUGACUUUGGGAUAACUUCAGGAAACUGGGGCUAAUACCGGAUAGGAGCUCCUGCUGCAUGGUGGGGGUUGGAAAGUUUCGGCGGUUGGGGAUGGACUCGCGGCUUAUCAGCUUGUUGGUGGGGUAGUGGCUUACCAAGGCUUUGACGGGUAGCCGGGCUGAGGGGGUGACCGGACAAAUUGGGACUGAGAUACGGCACAGACUAAUACGGGAGGCAGGAGUGGGGAAUAGUGCACAAUGGGCGGAAGCCUGAUGCAGCAACGCCGCGUGGGGGAUGACGGCAUUCGGGUUGUAAACCGCUUUCGCCUGUGACGAAGCGUGAGUGACGGUAAUGGGUAAAGAAGCACCGGCUAACUACGUG